rnacentral:rRNA from 1 species
GAGACCCCUGCCUCUAGUUGCUACCAUUAUUCUCAGGAGUAGUGGAGCUAAUUAGAGGGACUGCCGUCGCUGAGACGGAGGAAGGAGGGGGCUACGGCAGGUCAGUAUGCCCCGAAACCCUCGGGCCACACGCGGGCUGCAAUGGUAAGGACAAUGAGUCUCGAUUCCGAAAGGAGGAGGCAAUCUCUAAACCUUACCACAGUUAUGAUUGAGGGCUGAAACUCGCCCUCAUGAAUAUGGAAUCCCUAGUAACCGCGUGUCACUAUCGCGCGGUGAAUAC